rnacentral:RNase_P_RNA from 1 species
UUCGCCUGCUGCCUUUGGUGGGUUGCCAGCGGCAAGUUGCGGGGAGGAAAGUCCGGACAGCACAGGGCACGGCAGUUGCUAACGGCAACCGGGAGUAAUCCCAGGGAAAGUGCCACAGAAACCAUACCGGUAACCGCUGCAAAGCAGUAGGACCAAGGGUGAAAAGCGUGCGGUAAGAGCGCACAGUUCCCGGUGGCGACAUCGGGAAGGGGUAAACCCUGCCGGCUGCAAGGAAUAUGACAUCACCAUGGCCGGCCCGGCCGAUGUCAUAGCAAAGAACCGCUCGAGCCCGGUGGCGACAUCGGGCCCAGAUAGAUAGUCAUCUCCAAGGACAGAAUCCGGCUUACAGGCGUGCGUGCCCA